AGGUUGUAAACAGUGAACCUGGUCUGUAGGGGAGGGCAGGGAAGGAUGAUGAAUGUAUUGGCACAACUGACUCCGUGUUCCUCUUGUUCUUUCCAUUUAUUCAGAACAUCAAGUGGAUGCUGGUGUUUCCUAUGACUUUGGUUUAGCGAAUGUAGGUGUUUGCUGGAGGCAGGUUACAGCCACCUAAGGAAUUCCCAAGAGACGGAUCGGGUCAUGGCAGCUCAUAUUCCCUUCAGGUGCCGACUUCCUCCAUCUGGAAAGAGGAAGCUGGACCAACAGUGACAAUAAUCAGAUUGGGCAGAGCUCGGGAAAAGGCUCAUUUGAAUUUCCAUACGAGAUCCAGCAAUGAAUUAUACAUUGGUGGAACAAGGCUGAACUCAUCAUCUCCCUAAUAAACUGUGUGACUUGAUCAAGAACCAGUGACAUCAUACACAGGAUCACAGAAAAUUCUAAUUUAAUAUGGAGUCAAAUAUAUGCACAUUCCUGCUGUCAGACUUUUACACUUCACUGCACAGGCUGUCUGCUUAGCUGCAUAUUUACAUUCCAAAACAUUGGCACACAUUAAUUAAAAAAAAAAAGA